rnacentral:tRNA from 1 species
GGGCCCGUAGCCUAGCCAGGUAGACGAUGUUCGGCCGAGGGCGUCCGGCUCCAGACCGGAAGGUCGGGGGUUCAAAUCCCCUCGGGCCCA